GGAUGAACGCUGGCGGCGUGCCUAAUACAUGCAAGUCGAGCGAACAGACGAGGAGCUUGCUCCUCUGACGUUAGCGGCGGACGGGUGAGUAACACGUGGAUAACCUACCUAUAAGACUGGGAUAACUUCGGGAAACCGGAGCUAAUACCGGAUAAUAUAUUGAACCGCAUGGUUCAAUAGUGAAAGACGGUUUUGCUGUCACUUAUAGAUGGAUCCGUGCCGCAUUAGCUAGUUGGUAAGGUAACGGCUUACCAAGGCAACGAUGCGUAGCCGACCUGAGAGGGUGAUCGGCCACACUGGAACUGAGACACGGUCCAGACUCCUACGGGAGGCAGCAGUAGGGAAUCUUCCGCAAAGGGCGAAAGCUUGACGGAGCAACGCCGCGUGAGUGAUGAAGGUCUUCGGAUCGUAAAACUCUGUUAUUAGGGAAGAACAAAUGUGUAAGUAACUAUGCACGUCUUGACGGUACCUAAUCAGAAAGCCACGGCUAACUACGUG
rnacentral:rRNA from 1 species